rnacentral:rRNA from 1 species
AUGGACGACCCGCAGGUUAUCCUCGGCACCUCCAGGAGCGAUAUGCUCGCCUCCUUGGAGCGCGACGGCCAGGACCCUGCGACGCUGGACCUCGGCUCAAACAUGAUGCUCCACUUCGUGUACAAGUACCUCCCGGACCCACCCGUCUCCCCCGCCGCACCCCUCUCGCUCGCCGGCGCGUCGUGGGUCCCCGACGGCGUCGACCGCAUCAGCCGCCUCCCCGACGUGCUCCUCCGCAACAUCAUCUCCCGCCUCCCCGCCAAGGACGCCGCGCGCACCGCCGCCCUCUCCUCGCGCUGGCGUCCCCUCUGGCGCGCGGCGCCCCUCUCUCUUGUCGACAGCCACCUGCUUCCCGACGGCGGCGCGGCCGGGCAGUUCCCCAUCGGCGUUCCCUCUCCCCGGACAGUCGCCGCCGCCGUGUCCAGCGCCCUCGCGGCGCACCCUGGGCCCUUCCGCUGCGUCCACCUCACCCGCAGCAACAUGGACGAGCACCGAGGCGAGAUGGCGCGCUGGAUCGACACCCUCGUCGCCCAGGGGGUCAAAGAUCUCGUCUUUGUGAACCGCCCUUGGCCGAUUGACCUGCGCCUCCCCGCCACGCUCUUCAGCUGCGCCUCCCUCACCCGCCUCUAUCUCGGCGUCUGGACACUUCCGGACACCACGGCCGUGCCGCGCGGCGCCAGCUUCCCCAACCUCCGGGAGCUCGGCCUAUGCAUGACUGUCAUGGAGGACCGUGAUCUGGCAUUCAUGCUCGAAAGAAGCCCAGUCCUUGAGUUCCUCCUCAUCAUGUGGAGCCAGACCGGAGUGCGCCUCCGACUCGUUAGCCACAGCCUGCGGUGCCUUCAGCUGGCCUUCACCUACUUGGAGUACAUCUACGUGGUGGAUGCACCUCGCCUGGAGAGGCUCUUGCAGUGCGAAACUGUUGGCGAGGGGGGGAUGAAGUCCACCAUGGAGCGCUCUGAGAUCAAGAUUGGGCGUGCACCUAAUCUGCGUGUGCUGGGAUAUCUUCUGCCAGGAGAGCAACAGUUGGUGGUGGAUAACGCCGAUCUCGUGGCUAGGAGCAGGGAGAACAUUGUCCCUACUGUCAAGAUUUUGGGCAUAGAGGUGCAGUUUGGUGUCCGCAAUGUUGUCAAGAAAGUGCCUGGCUUUCUCAGAUGCUUCCCCAACCUGGAGACGCUCCAUGUCCAUUCCCCUCCCAUAUCUGAAGAGUCCACUGGCAAGGUGAAUCUCAAGUUCUGGCAGGAGGGCGGUCCCAUCAAAUGCAUCGUGCAGAGCGUGAAGAAGGUGUUCUUCUAUGAGUUCCAGGGGUCGAGAAGCGAGGUUGCUUUCCUCAAGUUCAUCGCGGAGAGAGGGCGGGUGCUGGAGCGGAUGGUGGUUGUGGUGUCCAGCAAGUGUUUCUCCUCGUCCUCGGUGGGUAAUGCGGACGCCAAAUUGAUGCCUCUGAUGAGCGCAAAGUGGAACAACAAAGCUUGCAAACUAGAGAUAUUCAGGAGCGGACGCGAGGACGCUGGAGGUCCAGUUUACUCCCACGAGCUAGCUUCUGAUUUCGAGUUUGCUGACCCUUUUGACCUCGAGGACUAUAUGAAGCAGAAAGGGUCUCUGCAAGUUAAUUAG